rnacentral:rRNA from 1 species
GACGAACGCUGGCGGCGUGCCUAAUACAUGCAAGUAGAACGCUGAAGGAGGAGCUUGCUUCUCUGGAUGAGUUGCGAACGGGUGAGUAACGCGUAGGUAACCUGCCUGGUAGCGGGGGAUAACUAUUGGAAACGAUAGCUAAUACCGCAUAACAGUAGAUAUCGCAUGAUAUCUACUUGAAAGGUGCAAUUGCAUCACUACCAGAUGGACCUGCGUUGUAUUAGCUAGUUGGUGAGGUAACGGCUCACCAAGGCGACGAUACAUAGCCGACCUGAGAGGGUGAUCGGCCACACUGGGACUGAGACACGGCCCAGACUCCUACGGGAGGCAGCAGUAGGGAAUCUUCGGCAAUGGACGGAAGUCUGACCGAGCAACGCCGCGUGAGUGAAGAAGGUUUUCGGAUCGUAAAGCUCUGUUGUAAGAGAAGAACGAGUGUGAGAGUGGAAAGUUCACACUGUGACGGUAUCUUACCAGAAAGGGACGGCUAACUACGC